rnacentral:rRNA from 1 species
UACGUAGGGGGCAAGCGUUGUCCGGAUUUAUUGGGCGUAAAGAGCGUGUAGGCGGCCAGGGAGGUCCGUUGUGAAAACUCGAGGCUCAACCUCGAGACGCCGAUGGAAACCCCCUGGCUAGAGUCCGGAAGAGGAGAAUGGAAUUCCUGGUGUAGCGGUGAAAUGCGCAGAUAUCAGGAAGAACACCAGUGGCGAAGGCGGCUCACUGGCCCGAUACUGACGCUGAGGCACGAAAGCGUGGGGAGCAAACAGG